UUCCUUUUUCUAAUUUGCCUUGUGGGAAGUCCAGCCGGGCACCGGCGGGGCGCCGCCUGGAUCCCGAAACCGAAGCAUGCGGCCUCUCCCGCCGGCCGUGGCGGCGCGCCUCGCCGCCGUCCGCGCCGACCCAGCCGCCGUCCCGCUCCCGUUCUUCAACUCCCUCCUCUCCGCGCUCGCCUCCUCCCACGCCCACCUCCCGCUCCACCUCUUCCGCCGCCUCCUCCUCCCGCGCCGCCGCCCCGACGCCUUCACGCUCUCCUCCCUCGCCGCCUCUCUCCUCCCGCCGGCCCACUCUCCCUCCGCCUCCGUCACCGCCGCCGCCGCCGCCGCCGGGUGCCUCCACGCCUUCUCCCUCCGCCUCGGCCUCCUCCGCGCCGACCCCGUCCUCGCCAACUCCUUCCUCCUCCUCUACCUCCGCGCCGCGUCGCCAGGCCUCGCGCGCAGGCUGUUCGACGAAAUGCCCGCGCGCACCGCCUCCACCUACAACACCCUCAUCUCGCACUCGCCCCCGGGUGUCGACGUCUGGCCCGUCGUGCGGCACAUGGUCGAGGACGGGUGCGUGCCGGACCGGUUCACGGUCUCGUCGAUCCUGCCAGCGUGCGAGUCCGAACUCCGGGGCAGGGAGCUUCAUUGCUUCGCUCUGAAGAGUGGGAUGUGCGGGGCAGGCGAUUUCCAUGUUGGGAGCAGCCUCGUGUCAAUGUACUUCAGGGUUGGCCAACCAGGACAUGCACGCCGGGUUUUCGAUGGGAUGGAGCAGAGGAAUGUGGUUUCUUGGACUGCAAUGGUUGGAGGGUUCACAGAGAGCGGGAUGUUUGAGGAUGCCGUGGAUGCUUUCCGGGCAAUGUGGGUGAUCGGUGCUGUUCUGCCAAACAGGAUUGCGCUGAUUAGUGUGCUCUCAGCUGUGGAGGCCCUCACAGAUUUGGCUGCUGGGAAACAGGUGCAUGGCUUUGCGGUCAGGAUGGGAUUGUCUGGGGAAGUAUCCCUGAACAAUGCUUUGAUUGUUAUGUACGUCAAAUGCGGGGUCUUGUGGUAUGCACGGCAGAUCUUUGAUGAUGGUAGAUGGUGCAAAGAUGUGAUCUCGUGGUGUUCGAUGAUUCAGGGGUAUGGCCUUCAUGGGAAGGGUGCAGAAGCAGUUGCCCUGUUUGAUCAGAUGCAUAUUUCUGGGGUUAAGCCAGACAGCAUAACUGGCUUGGGUGUGCUUUCAGCUUGUUCUAGGGCAGGGUUGGUUUUUAAGGGCCUUGAGAUAUACAACUCUCUGGUGAAGGAUUAUGGAGUUCAUCCAACUGAGGAGAUGUCUGCUUGCAUAGUUGAUUUACUUGGUCGAUCGGGGAUGAUUAAUCAGGCCUUGGACUUUAUAAAGUCAAUGAGUAUAGAGCCAGGCCCUAGUGUCUGGGGAGCACUUCUGGAUGCCUCCAUUGUUCACAAUAACAAAGAAAUUCAAGAUUUGUCCUGCAGAUACCUUCUUAGACUGGAAGAAGGGAACCCAUCUAAUCUUGUCUCAGUAUCUAAUCUGCAUGCCUUUGAUGGAAGCUGGAAUAUUGUCGAACAUGUGAGGGCUAAGAUUAAACAAGGGGCAUUGAAGAAGAUCCCUGGUUUUAGUUGGAUAAAUCCAACAUAAUGAGGGGCUUCAUUUUCAUUCAUCAUAUGAAGGAGCAUAAUCCUUAGCAACGCAGUUACAGAGGAAACCAAGCACCAGCUCCCACAGGCAGGCCUGCCUACAUCCAGACACCUACAAACCGCGUGUUGAAGUGAUGAAAUGAUAAUGCAUAGCGGUCCAUGAUUGAAAACCAAUCGGGGUUCAUUGAAUAGAGAAACCCUGCUCUGUCAUAUGAGGAAGUUGCUUCGACGCUUACAUGAUCAGUGUACAGUGAUCGUGGCUUUCAAAUUGUGACAGAAUUGAGUGGUACAAAACAGAUAAAUCCCUGUGUACACAUUAAGCUUGAUUGCAUAGGUGAUGCAACAGCAGGUAUGACAUCCAGAGGCUUUCUCUAUUUCUACUGCAAAACUUGUCCUGAUUCUUGCAUUUAAAACUUGUGGUCUAUUGUUGUAACAUUUUGCUGAGAUGUACAGAUCUUUGUUGUCAUAAUUCUGUGAUUAUUAUUCUGGUCUAUGGAAUGCCAUUUGGCUUGUUCAUCAGUGCUGGUUAAUUUGUAUCUGUUAUUAAUCUGUGAUUAUUGUUCUGGUCUAUGUUAUGCGCUAUAAUCUGUAUCUCUCAAGAAAUUGUUCACAAUUAUGCUUUCUUAGUUAUAUUUAGAACAUGGUCAAAAUACGUUUUCUUGUUUUGGCUUGUUAGGUUGCUAUCAGUAGUUGGUGAACAAUAACAGCCUUUUCAUCUUAUCUUUUCACUGUUUGUGAAUGUGCUUGGUAUUUACUUGCGAUCCAUUUUCAUAUGGUUCUUGCAGUUGAGUGAUGCUUAUAGAAAUAGUUACCAUUGGAGGAGCAUUUGUAGUGAUCAAUGUUGGUUGAUAAUGCUGGGACAUGAAUUGACAGUAAAUCUCUGUUGUUUCUGUAAAGAUUGCUGGAUAUAUUUGUAUAGUAAUGCAUUUGUUCAAGACUUUGUUCAUAUCCGGUUUCUUGAUAUGUCAAUUUCAUUAUUUUCUGUUCAGUUGCCAUCACCCAUCUAUCAUUAUACAAGAUAUGAUGGGCAAAUUAUAACCAGCCAUUCAGUAUCAUAACAUUACGUAAUCAUUCCCCAUACUGUAUCCAGAUGGAGGUCGGUACUAGACUAACACUUGCUCUGAACAAUACUGUAAUACAUGUAUUGAAUUUGACCCAUUAUUUAUUCGUAUGUUUUGUCAUGCUAACCUCUAUGAUGGGUGUUAUGAAAGGUAUUUAGAAUGGUAGACGGGGCUUUUCUUGGCAUUAUAACCCUUGAGUAGAAAGCUUUAUUUUAGCAUCCAAACGAGAUAAGAUGGCCACCAUUUUAUUGGCAUGAACUUGCAGUAGGUGUUGUGGUAAUUUUGCAUGCUUUUGUUGCUAUGGUAAGAGGAAAGCAUAAAUGAUGGUGUUAUGAAAUCUGCAUUUGUGUAUGUUGCUGUGUUCUACUUGUGGCUUGAACCAAGUGUUGUGCUAUGUUAAUGUGUUCCUGAUGAUGAGAGCAAACAAUGUAUGUAGCAUAUUUCCAUGACAUCAUGGAGUGACAAUUUAUAUUUCCCCUUGUUUUUGCUACUUCAAUUUUUAAUCAUUUGUUCCAUUGUUUCAUGUUUUAGUUCUUUCUGAUUAAAAUAUUUGUUCUUACCAGCUUGUUUGGCUAACUUUUCAGUAAUCUUUGAUGCCCAGACAGAUGUGAGAGUGGAAACAGGAAGUCAGAUGGCCAUGUGAUAUCAAGAGGAAAGCUGGAUACAUAUACACAGUGCCCUUUCUUUGGACUGGCUUGCUCUACUCAAAGGAGGUAAUUUCGCACAAAAGGCAACAGCAGAGAUGGUUCACAUCAGAGCACUGAUAACCAGCCAAUCAUGAAGUUGUACCUUGUGCUAUUGAGCCCCGUCUGCCCAUGAAGAACUCACGUGGAUGGGAUCCACCGCGCCACUGUUGGAUCCAAAAGUACGCACUUGAGCAAGAAGUAAGUAUCCUGGCGGCCGGGCCAGCUGGAGGACCGCCGGCGGCACCACAGCACCGAGGCCAGCCAGCCGGCGGCACAGUUGCUCCGGGCGCGGCGCGAUUCCACUGCACGGCCAAGGCCGGGCAGCGCCGCGCCUCGGGCGCCAUGUCGGAGGGUGGGAUCAUGUGGCUGUCACAUGGGCAAGGCUAGCAGAGCUGGCAAACGGCGAGGCCCCCGUCGGCACCUUUGGGCUCUCCUUCGGGACAGCGACGGUAGCUGCUGGGGCCGGGAUCCCCAUUUAUUCCUUCUGGCGUGGCCCCGCGGGCUGGGCGGGGCGGGCGCGUCGCCCUCUUGGGACGUCGCUCUCGCGGCCAGUGAGAUCGCUGGAAUGGGACACAGAGGCUGGAAAAAACAGGAUGGAGGGAAGGAUGGAAGGAUCAUUUCAUUUUCUGUCAUCCUGUUCUGGUGCCCGUAGCACCCCCGCCAUGAUUGCGCGUUGUUGGAUACUCGGAUUGGCUGCCUGUCCGUACGUGAUUGGCACCACCCUACUGCGCCUCCAUCUAGCCAUGGAUGGUGGCAGUAACUCAGGUCUCAUAUUGCUCAGGAAGCUAAUGUUGCGAUGGUGGCUAUGUAUAUCAAGACUCUCAAGUUCAACCCAAAACACGAAAAUCUCACUAGAGUAAGCUAUACCAUCGCUGGACCUUAACCGAGUGGGCUGUUCGUCGUCGUGUGGAUGACAGUUAAGAUGACACAGCAUGCCGCGUGCGUGUGUGCAUGCACCAGCUUUGGGAUGAUCAGUGAGAAGGAAUGUUUGAAAGCUGAAGUUGGGGACUAAUCCUGUUGGAGCACCUGGCAUGUUGCAUCAUCAUUUGACAGUUACGGCCCUGCUGAAUGAGGUUGAUGCUUUCACCGAUUUGGACCACAUGGGAGAGCGAGCGAGCGUGUCUCCCGAAGCUUACACCGUGAAAUUCUCCGAUACAGCUCAGACCAGACCUGCUGAUCCCCCUCCUACACCAUAAUGUCAAGACAUACUCACAUACAUACGUACGUCCCACUUUGGCUGCAUACAUUCAUACUACGUGGGCACCUGUCGUGUAUAAGUAUAAGCAGGCAAUUAGAAUGCUGCUGAUCAUUCAUCAUCUAAUGAAGCUGGGCACUAUAAGGCUGAUAUUGGAGGGCACCCGUCGUCCCUGUCACGUGUACGGACACGUGCACGUGGCACGUUGAUUUUUGGGGUUCAAAGUACGAUACAAUGGGCAUACUAUAGCUUGUCCUAACAGUCGAUGGGGGAACCUUGUGCAGUUGCUGACAGCGGACGGGGGCUGGCUGAUGAUAAUCGUGUGCUGCAGUGUGCAAGUCGACAGAGGCUUCUGACGUAUCCAGUUGCCGAAUUGAAAAGGCCACGUACAUCGAUACAGAUACAGCUAAGGCAUUAUCGAUGCUCUGCAAAAUCAAAUAUAUUCAUUCCCCUUCCAGUGGCCACGCUCUUCUACACCUCUGGACAAGUUUAAGAAGCCGGCGAGGAAGAAGAAAUAUUGGAGGGCAAUUGUUCUUUUGUGCUGGCCACAACGACCAGCUGCUAGUGAAAACUCAACUGUCUGCAGGGGAUAAGAAGAUGAAGCUCUGGACACAUACAAGAUAAAAAAUGAAACUUAAUGGUCUGCAGGGGAUCAAACAUAUCAUAGGAGCAUGGAAGGAAUGAGUGAAAACUCGGAUGUAAGGUAUUAUCUCUUUAAACACAGGGAAGGUUUCAAAGUUUUAAUGAAUAGCUUUAUCUGAUAUUUGUAUAUAACUUGAUUGAUUUUUUUUCCUUUAAAGUUGCAUCCCACUAGGUAGAGUAUAUGUCUGGUAUUGUGAUCAAAAUGUUAUAUAAUGCCAAAAGUAAAAAAAAAAUGUUUAUAUUUCUUUCAGCAAUCAACUUUGUAUGUCUUGCAUUUAUUGAGGACGCAGAUAAUGAUGGUAAUUGAUUAACAUUUGGAGUUAUGCAAAAA